rnacentral:rRNA from 1 species
GAAGGUUGAUUUUUAUUGUUUUUUUUAAUAUUUUAUUUUUUGAAAAAAGUAAUUUUUGUAUUAUUAAAAAUUUUGAACAUAUAUUUAUUAUUAUAGUUUAUUGUAUUGUGAAAGAUUAAGUUUAUCUAGUUAAAAGAAAAAUUUAUUUUUUGUACCUUGUGCAUCAGGGUUGAUUAAAAAUAUUUUAAUUAUUUUAAAGUUCUCGAAUUUAAAAGAGUUAAUUAUCUAUUUAUUUUAUUGUUUUAUAAAUACUUAUAAUAGUUAAUUUGUAAUGAAACGUUAUUCGUUUUUAAAUAUAUCUAGUUUUUAAAUAAAUGAAUUUAAUUUAGCUAUUAUUAAUCAAAGUUUUAAUUUUUUAAUUUUUUGUUUUUAAUAAGUAAUUUUUUAAGGGAUAAGCUUUAAAAAAUAUUGCUAUAAUUUAAUUUAAUUGUAAUAAGUUGUAGGAUUAUAAUUUUCCACUAAUUGAAAAAUGUUAUAAUUAGUUAUUUUUAAAAUAUUAUUUAUAUUAAAUUUAGUUUUUAUAUUUAAAUAUAGGUUUUAAUGUGAAAAACUUAGAAAUAAUGAUUAAAUUAGUAAAAAUUGUUGUGUUUCAUAAAUAUAUUAAUUUAGGUUAAAUUAAGGAAUUCGGCAAGUUGUAUUUUCUACCUGUUUAUUAAAAACAUGUCCUUUUGAUUAUAAUUUAAGGUCUAAUCUGCCCACUGAUUACAUUAAAUGGCCGCGGUAUUUUGACCGUGCUAAGGUAGCAUAAUAAUUAGUUUCUUAAUUAGGAGCUGGAAUGAAAGAUUGAAUAAGAAAAUAACUGUCUCAAUUUAAUUUAUUUUGAAUUUUAUUUUUAAGUUAAAAAGCUUAAAUUUUUUUAAAAGACGAGAAGACCCUAUAGAGUUUUAUUUAGGUGUUAAUAUAGAAUUUUAUUUAUUGGACUGAUUUUGUUUUAAUACUAAAUUUUGUUGGGGUGACAGAAAAAUUAAGUAAACUUUUUUUUAAUUUAAA